CCUGGUCUUCUCAAGCGAAAUAUAUUAAGUUGAAUGAUUAACUACAGUGCCUACUACUAUGUUAGAUUUGUGCGGUUUGUAAUUUUAUUAGACUUUUUAUCAUUUUCUAAUUGCCAGGAUUUACACCAUUUUCAUAGCGUGCCGUCGGGGACCUACACAGUACUGCUGGCAAGGAUGAAAAGCAUAGGCCACAUGAAAGUGAAUGUGAAUAUAGUAGAACAGUCGACACAACACUGAUGUGCUGGGAUUUGUGGUAAAUCAGAUUAGUCUAAAAUGUAUUGAAGAAUGGAGCGGGACUGAAUUUGAAGAUGCAGAUGCAGCUGCAGGUCGAUACUGGACACAAAGGGAGAAACAUUGUUUGUUGGACAACCUGGACAAAGCAGCAAAGAGAAUCAGCGGACACGGCGCAGCGAGCGACAGCGGUUACAAGCGGAUAUACCCAUAGGGACUCUGAUCGGCACAGCAUAGCAUUUUCUGUUCAAUGAACUGAGUGAACACAAUC